AUGACUGUUGGAAAGGAUGUUUCGUCGUUGUUCACAGACGUGGUGAAUUGUAUGCAGACAGAAAAUUUGGAGCUGAAAAAGUUAGUCUAUUUAUAUUUGAUAAAUUAUGCAAAGAGCCAGCCUGACCUUGCUAUAAUCGCAGUAAAUACAUUUGUGAAGGAUUCUCAAGAUCCAAAUCCUUUAAUUCGUUCCUUAGCUGUGCGGACAAUGGGUUGCAUUCGUGUGGAUAAAAUUACCGACAAACUAACUGUAUAG